rnacentral:rRNA from 1 species
UUUUCCUACGGGACGCAGCAGUGGGGAAUAUUGCACAAUGGGGGAAACCCUGAUGCAGCGACACCGCGUGAGUGAAGAAGUAUUUCGGUACGUAAAGCUCUAUCAGCAGGGAAGAAAAUGACGGUACCUGACUAAGAAGCCUCGGCUAACUACGUGCCAGCAGCCGCGGUAAUACGUAGGGGGCAAGCGUUAUCCGGAUUUACUGGGUGUAAAGGGAGCGCAGACGGCAGCGCAAGGCUGGAGUGAAAUCCCAUGGCUUAACCA